rnacentral:rRNA from 1 species
GACGAACCGAGCGAACGUUAUUCGGAAUCACUGGGCUUAAAGGGCGCGUAGGCGGGCGGCCGAGUCCGGGGUGAAAGCCCCCAGCUCAACUGGGGGAGUGCCUCGGAUACUGGUCGCCUCGAGGGAGAUAGGGGCGUGCGGAACUUCCGGUGGAGCGGUGAAAUGCGUAGAUAUCGGAAGGAACACCGGUGGCGAAAGCGGCGCGCUGGAUCUCUUCUGACGCUGAGGCGCGAAAGCCAGGGGAGCGAACGGG